AUUAUCCAUACUAAGAUUUAUUAUUUUUUUUCCAAAAUGCCACUAUCUAUUAAUAUAAUUUCAAUUAUGUACUAACAAUAUCAUUUAUUCAACUUUUAUGGGUACAAAUCACAACCAUAAAAUUUUUAUUUUAUUUUCAAAUUAUUAUAAAAUAUAUUAAUUCUUAGUUAUUUGAUCUAAGAUAAAUUAAGUAUCUGUCAUUUUUUUUUACCUAAAUUGCAUUCCACCUUUUAUACCUGUAUCCUAUCUUCUAAUUUAAUAAUAUUUUAUCUUAUCUAAUACUUUAUCUAACAAUAAUUCACUUUACACUUCAUACUUAUAUAUACUAUAUAUAAAAGUAUAUAGAAAUUCAAAGAAUAUUUUCUACCAACGAUUAUGAUUAAUUUGUUAAAAAAUAUUUCAAAUAAAAACGAACGGUUAUGAUCAAUUUGUUAAAAAAUAGCAUUCCAAUCCAUAGGUUUACAGUAAAAUUAUAAUUUGA
rnacentral:lncRNA from 1 species